rnacentral:lncRNA from 1 species
GAUGCCUGUUCUCAAAUGUAAGACAGAAAAUUCAAUAAAAAAUUUUUUAUAUACAAACAUGGGAGAAGCUUCCUGGUGCAGAAUAGAAUGCCCCUGUUUUCAUCGGAGAAAUGUUGGAGGGUCUGGAGGCAUGCCUGCCUCUGUGUUCCUUACGUUUUCAAAUCGGAUCAAAGCUGGUCUGGGAGCCAUUGGGGUUUUGGGGUGUGUGUGUGUGUUGUGUAGGUCCUUCCUGAUUUCCUGUGUCAGGCAAAGGCUCCGUAUCUCCCUUUACAGUAUGUGGGGUCACCGCACGCACCCAUUUCUGGGAAGCCAGGAAGAGACCAAGCUUUCCAUGUCAUUGUAUGAAGUCACAGGCUCCUGGCCGCCCUUCCCCUUGCAUUUAUCACCACCAGCCUGAAGAGUCAUGAGAGGAAAUGGUGCGUUGUUGUUGUUUAGUCGUUUAGUCGUGACCCCCUGGACCAGAGCACGCCAGGCACUCCUGUCUUCCACUGCCUCCCGCAGUUUGGUCAAACUCAUGUUCGUAGCUUCGACAACACUGUCCAACUAUCUCGUCCUUUGCUGUCCCCUUCUCCUUGUGCCCUCCAUCUUUCCCAACAUCAGGGUCUUCUCCAGGGAGUCUUCUCUUCUCAUGAGGUGGCCAAAGUCUUGGAGCCUCAGCUUCAGGAUCUGUCCUUCCAGUGAGCACUCAGGGCUGAUUUCCUUCAGAAUGGAUCGGUCUGAUCUUCUUGCUAGCCAGUGUGGUGUAGUGGUUAAGAGCGGUAGUCUCGUAAUCUGGGGAACCGGGUUUGCGUCUCCUCUCCUCCACAUGCAGCUGCUGGGUGACCUUGGGCCAGUCACACUUCUUUGAAGUCUCUCAGCCCCACUCACCUCACAGAGUGUUUGUUGUGGGGGAGGAAAGGAAAGGAGAUUGUUAGCCGCUUUGAGACUCCUUAAAGGGAGUGAAAGGUGGGGUAUCAAGUCCAAACUCCUCUUCUUCUUCUUGCAGUCCAUGGGACUCUCUCAAGAGUCUCUUCCAGCACCAUAAUUCAAAAGCAUCAAUUCUUCAAUGAUCAGCCUUCUUUAUGGUCCAGCUCUCACUUCCAUACAUCACUACUGGGAAAACCAGAGCUUUAACUAGACGGACCUUUGUUGGCAAGGUGAUGUCUCUGCUUUUUAAGAUGCUGCUUAAGGAGAGACAAAUGAGGAACUGGUGGCCGUCUCAACUGGUCACCGCAACCUUGGUCGCUUUGCCGGUUGGGGAUGCCAUGAUCAAACUGGAAGAGCUUAGUUUCCACAAAGCCUCUGCAGUUGCUCAGAAGUCGGGGGCCCAAACUUCAGUGUGUCUCCGUUCCCAAAGUGUGUGUGUGUGGGGGGGUCCCACCCCUGGGGGUACAGUGGCAUCACCUGGGGGGCCCUUAGAGCAGGCAUAGGCAAACUCGGCCCUCCAACUGUUUUGGGAUUACAGUUCCCAUCAUCCCUGACUGCUGGUCCUGUUAGCUAGGGAUGAUGGGAGUUGUAGUCCCAAAACAUCUGGAGGGCAGAGUUUGCCUAUGGCUGCCUUAGAGGCAAGGAGGCAGCGGGGGGAGGCACUGGAAAUGGCUUCCUCCAAGUGCACUGAUCAAUUAUUUUCCAUUCACCAGCCUAGAGCCCAGAGCCAAACAUCUUCCUUAUUUAAACUUUUACUGCUCUUCUUACUUUCAAAGCUGUUGCCUUGCUCAAUGUUGUAUAAAUUAGUUACUGUACAUCUCUGUACAGAUGAAGGUUCGGUAAGUAGUUUUAUAUGAAUGUUUCAAGCUAUAAAUUACGCAAGAAUGCGUAAAAAUAUUUUUCAUGCAAUACUCUUUGCUGCAUAUACCUUUUUUUUUUAAAAAAAACUACAAGAUCAGAUCAGAGCAUAAAUUUAUUUAUCCAAAUUACUUUUUCUGAGAACUUAUACCUACAAAUCGGGUUUUGAAUAAGGGAGCAAUUAAUUAUUGCUGUUUUGAAUUUUAUUAUGUUACUAUAUUCCUGAACGGGUUGUGCGGAUCGCUGUUCUGAGUUAUUUAUUUAUUUCAUGAAAAUUUAUGUGCCACUUGCUUGAUUAUAAAAACAACAGCAACGACACCUCCAAGCGAUUUUUUUGAAAGAUAAAACAAUAAAACUGAGAAGUAGAAAAACCACAACCAUACUUU